rnacentral:snRNA from 1 species
AUCUUUGCGUUUGGAGCAAUGACGCAGCUAGUGAGGUUCUAACCGAGGAGCGUCUAUUGCUGGUUGAAAACUAUUUCCAAACGCCCUCUUAGGCCUGGGUUCGACCCUGGCCUUAGAGAAUUUAUGAAAAGGCUCCCUACAAGCU